CGAACACGUGCAGAAAAGCCAUCGGGUGCAUUUGGUUCUGUUCAGUCCCACUGCAGUGCUGGGUUUCAUUGCCUCCAGCACAGAUGCUCUGGAAGCGUUUCUCACAGACCGUGCAUCCAGCCAUUACCCUGUGUAUCAGAAGCAGCAUCUCUACAACAGCAACCCAAGCUGGGAUUUUGGAGCCUUCCGAAGGCUGGACCACCUCAUCCAGGAGACUCACCUCAACAUCUCGUGGUUUGCCCAUGUUUUCCUGGAGUCUGGGACAUAUGUUUUCAGGGAUAGGACCAUUCAGGAGCACUUCCUGAUCGUGACUGUGAAUGAAGCAAAUAUGGGUUGUGACCCCCGAGAUGUUUCCUUCCAGCCCUCUUCUCUGUUCCAGCUGGCCAGACAUGGAAUUCUGAAGCAGCAGAACCUGAAUUUGGCUCCUAACUGGGCCACUAUCACAGGUACAGCCAAAACACUGUGAGAGAGGGAAGGACCAGUUGUGCUUCUCCCCACUCCCUGCUUGAAGAAUUCAAGUGAGGGCUUUGUUUCCCUUGGCUUGAAGGCAGAAAGUGCCAGUGUUUUAGUGCUAAACUCAGCUGAAAUGAAAGGCAUCAUUUAAAAGAUCACUCGGGGCUAAAUACGAGGACAGUUGAGGUCUUUCCUCAAAGCUGUGCACAUACCAGUCCUGUGUCCAUCAGUGAGAGGACAGGAAAGCAAUAGAAAUGAAAGUGUGGCUUGCAUCCUCUGUGCUGUCCCUCUUGGCUUUCCCAGCAGUUCUCUUUGUCCUGGGCUCCCUAAUUGUGGUGCUGGCAACCCUGGCUGUAGUGUUCCAGCCUGCUGUGCCCAUCAUCAGCCCCCUGAAGGCCUGGAAGCCACGAUGGAGGAGCCUGGGCGAGCCACACAUCCCACCGGAGUACAUCCUCCUUAAAGACAGCCUUCAGUUCUAUCAGACAGUCGGUCCUCAUGCUUCUGGAGAAGAUGCUGACUUUGAAGAGAAGGGAGCUGUGCAUAAUGCAGAAGAGCGGUUGACACGGAGGCUCCUGGAGGAUUUCAGUGUUCGCACCCUCUACGAUAAGCUGGAAGAUCAGAACUUGCAUCUGGCAUCUCAGCUGGCCAAGCACAGGAUGGACGUGCUGGUGUUCUACAAUGGAGUCAGCCAGCAGAUCCGGAGUCUCAUGGACAUGCUGCAAGCACUGGACACUGAAGACUUGAAAAGGGCUCGUGAGCACAGACCUGCAGAGAGCAGCAGGGCAGCAGCAUGUGCUGAACAGUGUGAUGGGCACUGUGGACACGACUUCCAAGCAGGCGCUCCAUGGCAAGAGGCAACAGAGUUAAUGAAAGCUCUGGAGAUGCUGCUGGGGAAUGCUCUGUACAAGAGUGCAUCCUUGAAGCGAGCUGUGGAGCAGAAGGUCCAAGGGCAGGAUGUGGUGGCAGCUGUGCCCUCCCUGGACAGCCUGGCCAGUGAAGGUAAAUCAGGAGGAAUGGAAGGGCAGGGUCAUGAGCUGCCUCAGCAGUGGGAGCUCUUCACUGGGAACAAUGUUUUUUUCAGCUUCCCUGGGCAUGAAGAACAAGGUAAAGGCAAUGACUUCUUGUCCUGGGUUUGGCUGGGAUAGAGUUAGUGCUCUUCCUAUGCUGUGCUUUGAAUUUAGUGUGGGAAUAACGCUGGUAACACACCGAUGGUUUAGUUGUUGCUCUGUAGCACUUACUCAGUGGCAAGAACAUCUGUGUUCCAUGCCCUGCCAGUGAGGAGCACGAGAAGCCAGGAGGUAGCAGAGCCAGAACCUGAAUUAGCCCAAGGGAUAUUCCAUACCAUGGAACAUCAUGCUCAGGAUAGAAACUGGGG
ensembl:lncRNA